rnacentral:tmRNA from 1 species
GGGGGUGACCGGUUUCGACAGGGACUGCGGAGGUAAGAAUAGCAUAUCGGGCAGAUUACCUAUCCCGUUAAACUUGGUGAUACUAAAUUGUAAAUGCAGAUGAAAAUCUAGCACUAGCUGCAUAAACAUGCAACUCAUUUGAUAGAAUGGUGCCAUUGACAAUCUAUUGAAUGCCGUUUUCAAUGGCUUAGAUGCUGCGAUGUCUAUACACAGUGUUGAAGCAAAUAGGCUUGGUUUCGGAAAGGUUUGUGCAUUGUUCUUUCUGAAAUGACCAAAUUACGAUGUUCUAAAUAUGUAGAAUUUCUUACAGCCAAAUCUCUGGACGCGGGUUCGACUCCCGCCACCUCCACCA